rnacentral:rRNA from 1 species
GGUGAACGUUGGCGGUGCGCCUAAUACAUGCAAGUCGAGCGAGAAAGUCCAAACCCGCAAGGGGGAGGGCGAGUACAGCGGCGAACUGGUGAGUAACACGUGAUCAACCUGCCCUGCAGAUUGGGAUAACUCCGGGAAACCGGGGCUAAUACCGAAUAACAUUGGAAACCUCAUGGUUUCCUUUUAAAAGGCGGCUUCGGCUGUCACUGCAGGAUGGGCCCGCGGCGCAUUAGCUAGUUGGUGAGGUAACGGCUCACCAAGGCGACGAUGCGUAGCCGACCUGAGAGGGUGAUCGGCCACACUGGGACUGAGACACGGCCCAGACUCCUACGGGAGGCAGCAGUAGGGAAUCUUCCGCAAUGGACGAAAGUCUGACGGAGCAACGCCGCGUGAGUGAAGAAGGUUUUCGGAUCGUAAAACUCUGUUGUCAGGGAAGAACAAGUAUGGGAGUAACUGCCCGUACCUUGACGGUACCUUGCCAGAAAGCCACGGCUAACUACGUGCCAGCAGCCGCGGUAACAC